rnacentral:rRNA from 1 species
GGUUAAGCGACUAAGCGUACACGGUGGAUGCCCUGGCAGUCAGAGGCGAUGAAGGACGUGCUAAUCUGCGAAAAGCGUCGGUAAGGUGAUAUGAACCGUUAUAGCCGGCGAUGUCCGAAUGGGGAAACCCAGUGCAAUUCGUUGCACUAUCGUUUGAUGAAUACAUAGUCAAACGAGGCGAACCGGGGGAACUGAAACAUCUAAGUACCCCGAGGAAAAGAAAUCAACCGAGAUUCCCCCAGUAGCGGCGAGCGAACGGGGAGCAGCCCGGAGUCUGAAUCAGCUUGUGUGUUAGUGGAAGCGUCUGGAAAGUCGCAGGGUACAGGGUGAUACUCCCGUACACUAAAACGCACAGGCUGUGAACUCGAAGAGUAGGGCGGGACACGUGGUAUCCUGUCUGAAUAUGGGGGGACCAUCCUCCAAGGCUAAAUACUCCUGACUGACCGAUAGUGAACCAGUACCGUGAGGGAAAGGCGAAAAGAACCCCGGCGAGGGGAGUGAAAAAGAACCUGAAACCGUGUACGUACAAGCAGUAGGAGCCUCUUUAUGGGGUGACUGCGUACCUUUUGUAUAAUGGGUCAGCGACUUAUAUUCUGUAGCAAGGUUAACCGUAUAGGGGAGCCGCAGGGAAACCGAGUCUUAACUGGGCGUUAAGUUGCAGGGUAUAGACCCGAAACCCGGUGAUCUAGCCAUGGGCAGGUUGAAGGUUGGGUAACACUAACUGGAGGACCGAACCGACUAAUGUUGAAAAAUUAGCGGAUGACUUGUGGCUGGGGGUGAAAGGCCAAUCAAACCGGGAGAUAGCUGGUUCUCCCCGAAAGCUAUUUAGGUAGCGCCUCGUGAAUUCAUCUUCGGGGGUAGAGCACUGUUUCGGCUAGGGGGUCAUCCCGACUUACCAACCCGAUGCAAACUACGAAUACCGAAGAAUGUUAUCACGGGAGACACACGGCGGGUGCUAACGUCCGUCGUGAAGAGGGAAACAACCCAGACCGCCAGCUAAGGUCCCAAAGUCAUGGUUAAGUGGGAAACGAUGUGGGAAGGCCCAGACAGCCAGGAUGUUGGCUUAGAAGCAGCCAUCAUUUAAAGAAAGCGUAAUAGCUCACUGGUCGAGUCGGCCUGCGCGGAAGAUGUAACGGGGCUAAACCAUGCACCGAAGCUGCGGCAGCGACACUAUGUGUUGUUGGGUAGGGGAGCGUUCUGUAAGCCGUUGAAGGUGGCCUGUGAGGGUUGCUGGAGGUAUCAGAAGUGCGAAUGCUGACAUAAGUAACGAUAAUGCGGGUGAAAAACCCGCACGCCGGAAGACCAAGGGUUCCUGUCCAACGUUAAUCGGGGCAGGGUGAGUCGACCCCUAAGGCGAGGCCGAAAGGCGUAGUCGAUGGGAAACAGGUUAAUAUUCCUGUACUCGGUGUUACUGCGAAGGGGGGACGGAGAAGGCUAUGUUGGCCGGGCGACGGUUGUCCCGGUUUAAGCAUGUAGGCGGAUGUUCCAGGUAAAUCCGGAACGUUACUAACGCUGAGGUGUGAUGACGAGGCACUACGGUGCUGAAGUGACAAAUGCCCUGCUUCCAGGAAAAGCCUCUAAGCAUCAGGUAACAUCAAAUCGUACCCCAAACCGACACAGGUGGUCAGGUAGAGAAUACCAAGGCGCUUGAGAGAACUCGGGUGAAGGAACUAGGCAAAAUGGUGCCGUAACUUCGGGAGAAGGCACGCUGAUAUGUAGGUGAAGUGGUUUACCCAUGGAGCUGAAAUCAGUCGAAGAUACCAGCUGGCUGCAACUGUUUAUUAAAAACACAGCACUGUGCAAACACGAAAGUGGACGUAUACGGUGUGACGCCUGCCCGGUGCCGGAAGGUUAAUUGAUGGGGUUAUCCGUAAGGAGAAGCUCUUGAUCGAAGCCCCGGUAAACGGCGGCCGUAACUAUAACGGUCCUAAGGUAGCGAAAUUCCUUGUCGGGUAAGUUCCGACCUGCACGAAUGGCGUAAUGAUGGCCAGGCUGUCUCCACCCGAGACUCAGUGAAAUUGAACUCGCUGUGAAGAUGCAGUGUACCCGCGGCAAGACGGAAAGACCCCGUGAACCUUUACUAUAGCUUGACACUGAACACUGGUCCUUGAUGUGUAGGAUAGGUGGGAGGCUUUGAAGUGUGGACGCCAGUCUGCAUGGAGCCAUCCUUGAAAUACCACCCUUUAAUGGCUGGUGUUCUAACGUGGGCCCCUAAUCGGGGUUGCGGACAGUGUCUGGUGGGUAGUUUGACUGGGGCGGUCUCCUCCUAAAGAGUAACGGAGGAGCACGAAGGUCAGCUAAUCCUGGUCGGACAUCAGGAGGUUAGUGCAAUGGCAUAAGCUGGCUUGACUGCGAGCGUGACGGCGCGAGCAGGUGCGAAAGCAGGUCAUAGUGAUCCGGUGGUUCUGAAUGGAAGGGCCAUCGCUCAACGGAUAAAAGGUACUCCGGGGAUAACAGGCUGAUACCGCCCAAGAGUUCAUAUCGACGGCGGUGUUUGGCACCUCGAUGUCGGCUCAUCACAUCCUGGGGCUGAAGUAGGUCCCAAGGGUAUGGCUGUUCGCCAUUUAAAGUGGUACGCGAGCUGGGUUUAGAACGUCGUGAGACAGUUCGGUCCCUAUCUGCCGUGGGCGCUGGAGAAUUGAGGGGGGCUGCUCCUAGUACGAGAGGACCGGAGUGGACGCAUCACUGGUGUUCGGGUUGUCAUGCCAAUGGCAUUGCCCGGUAGCUAAAUGCGGAAGAGAUAAGUGCUGAAAGCAUCUAAGCACGAAACUUGCCCCGAGAUGAGUUCUCCCUGACUCCUUGAGAGUCCUGAAGGAACGUUGAAGACGACGACGUUGAUAGGCCGGGUGUGUAAGCGCAGCGAUGCGUUGAGCUAACCGGUACUAAUGAACCGUGAGGCUUAACCUU